rnacentral:lncRNA from 1 species
GCGCAAGACCCUUUAACACCGGUCCGUGGCUGGCACCGGUGCUAAAGGUGAAAGCCCUAGUUUGGUUUUGGAUAAUUGAUGAAACCUUAGUACUAACCUCUAUGCUAAGUAUGUGUAGACUUAAUGAGGAUGGUACAUGCCAAGUGAAGGAGCAAGUGAUGAUCAUGGUGAUGAUGGUGAUGACCAAAAGGUGAUCAAGUGCUCAACUUGGAAAAGAAAAAAGAGAAAAACAAAACCCUAU